UUUUUUUGGAUCGAUUCGAUAAUCCAAUAAAAAAUUAUCAUAAAAAAGAAUAAGCUAAACAUACCCGGGUAGGUGGUUAUAGAAAUGAAGGUUAAAAGAAUCUCUUAGAAGCUCCGAUCGGGCUGAAUGCAAGAAACGUCGCGGCUGCGCGAUAAAUGUUGCAUGCAUGUGUACUACAUUUUAUGAACCUCCCUCGCUUUCUUUCGGAUUGCAAUGAGUCCAGACACAGUUAGAAAUGCGUUUAACAUAUUUUCUUUUAUUUCUCACAUUUAUUUUCAUAAGCACAUUCUCUUGUACAUACACACCCUCCCCUCUCCCCUUGGUAUUUGUCAAAGUGGUUUUUUCUCUUUGAAAAACCAAAAAAACACGCACACAUGGUGAUCCCGCUUGAAAGUGCGAAACGGCAAAGAAAAAAAACAUACGCAAACCCAAGGUUAUUAGACUCUAUACAGGUUAUGACAAAAGCCUGUUUUGGCCGAUUUCUAAUAAAAAAAUGAAUGAAAAAAUUUUGACAGACAAAUUGGAAUGGUUUGUUUACAAUUGGACUGGUUUGUUUACAAUUCGACUGAUUGCAACUGGAUUGCAAUCGUGCAAUAGUACGAUGUUUUAGGUUGAAUUGUUCAAUUAUUGUAAAUCUAAUUUUAAUUAUGUACUUUCUACUGGACUUAUGUAGAAAGUGGAGAAGGGAUUCCGCUAUGAAUAUUCGUGUGUUAUCGUAUUAAGACCCAACAUGUACGAGUUGAAAAAUCGUUACGUCGGAAAACGAUCUCAGGACAUUAACUUAAGUUUGCUGCAAAAUCAUGUGUGUAUAAGCAAUAAGGGAGAGCCGAUAAAGAAGCGGAUGAAGUAGCCAGAUAGUGAGCAUAUGCUGGACGGAAAAUGUAUGCAGCGGCUGGACAUAAAAAAAAAUCAUAUCGAACGACACGUUUCUAACCGUAGAUUAACAUCAAACCAGUCUCUAACAGCACGUGAAUUUCAUCACACGAGAUUCUUUCCGUCCAAGAACAGUCCUGUGAUCUAGUGAUGGGCGUUUCGGAGCGCACCAACGGCUCCGGACUAACGGGUCCGGAGCCAGCUACGCUCCGACGGCUCCGUAGCCGGCUCCGCUCCAAGGGCUCCGCAACCGGUUCCGGACUAACAGCUCUGCACUCACGGCUCCAUUCCAACAACUGCGGAGCCGGCUGCGAGUCCACUGUUCCAGAGCCGUCGACGAAUCAACGGCUCCGAACUAACGGUUCAAUAGAGACAGCAUUGCAUGCUAGCCUAAUCAAAAAACGAAUAUAUCUUCUCGUGGAAGCUAACACACGAUGUGAUUGCAGUAUUGACAUUUAUGACGUCAUAAUAUUUUUCAUGUUUGAUAGAGGCAGAUAAACCCUAUCCACAUUAUUUCACUUUUCAUACAAAUUAUAUGAUAAAGAGAAGGAGAAA